UAAAUUGCUGUGGUAUUUUGACUAUACAAAGGUAUUGAAAUAAGACUUUAAUUGAGUGCUAAGAGAAUGGAUUUUCAAAAAAAUGCUUUCUUCAAUUUAAAAAUUGAAGCUAUUUUUUUUUGUGAAGAAACAAAAAUAAAAAUUAAAGACAAGAAGACCCUAAGAAUUUUUAUAAAUUUAUUGUAUAAAUGUAUAAUAUAUUUAUUUAAUUGGGGCGAUUAAAAAAUAUUUUAAACUUUUUUUUUAAAAAAAAGAUCCAUUAGUAAUGAUUUUUUGAAAAAAAUACUCUAGGGAUAACAGCGUAAUAAUUUUAGAUAGAUCUUAUAGAAAAAAUAGUUUGCGACCUCGAUGUUGGAUUAGGAUUCUUAUUUAAUGAAGAAGUUAAAAAAGAAAGUUUGUUCAACUUUUAAAUUCCUACUUGA
rnacentral:rRNA from 1 species